rnacentral:rRNA from 1 species
UACGGGAGGGAGCUAGCGUUGUUCGGAAUUACUGGGCGUAAAGCGCGCGUAGGCGGCUUUGUAAGUUAGAGGUGAAAGCCCGGAGCUCAACUCCGGAACUGCCUUUAAAAACUGCAUCGCUUGAAUCCAGGAGAGGUGAGUGGAAUUCCGAGUGUAGAGGUGAAAUUCGUAGAUAUUCGGAAGAACACCAGUGGCGAAGGCGGCUCACUGGACUGGUAUUGACGCUGAGGUGGCGAAA